rnacentral:tRNA from 1 species
GGGUGAUUAGCUCAGUGGUAGAGCGCUGCUUUCACACCGAAGAGGCCGGGAGUUCGAUCCUCUCAUCACCCACCA